GUUUUGAGUGGUGUCCAGAACAGGAG
rnacentral:piRNA from 1 species